rnacentral:tRNA from 1 species
GCCUGGGUGGUGGAAUUGGUAUACACAAGGGACUUAAAAUCCCUCGGCCGCAAGGCCUUGCGAGUCCGAGUCUCGCCCCAGGCACAA